GAUGAACGCUGGCGGCGUGCCUAAUACAUGCAAGUCGAGCGAACAGACGAGGAGCUUGCUCCUCUGACGUUAGCGGCGGACGGGUGAGUAACACGUGGAUAACCUACCUAUAAGACUGGGAUAACUUCGGGACACCGGAGCUAAUACCGGAUAAUAUAUUGAACCGCAUGGUUCAAUAGUGACAGACGGUUUUGCUGUCACUUAUAGAGGGAUCCGAGCCGCAUUAGCUAGUUGGUAAGGUAACGGCUUACCAAGGCAACGAUGCGUAGCCGACCUGAGAGGGGGCUGUGCCACACUGGAGCUGAGACACGGCCCAGACUCCUACGGGAGGCAGCAGUAGGGAAUCUUCAGGAAUGGGCGAAAGCAUGACGGAGCAACGCCGCGUGAGUGAUGAAGCUCUGCGGAUCGUAAAACGCUGUUCUUAGGGAAGAACAAAUGUGUAAGUAACGAUGAACGUCUUGACGGUACCGAAGCAGAAAGCCCCGGCUAACUACGU
rnacentral:rRNA from 1 species